AUUGAACGCUGGCGGCAUGCCUUACACAUGCAAGUCGAACGGUAACAGGUUAAGCUGACGUGUGGCGCUCGGGAGAGUCAUGUAUCGGAACGUGCUCAGUCGUAGGGGAUAAUUGCUCGAAAGAGCAGCUAAUACCGCAUACGACCAGGGCGUGAAAGCGGGGGAUCGCAAGGCCUCGCGCGAUUGGAGCGGGCGAUAUCAGAUUAGCUAGUUGGUGUGGUAAAGGCUCACCAAGACGACGAUCCGUAGCUGGUCUGAGAGGACGACCAGCCACACUGGGACUGAGACACGGCCCAGACUCCUACGGGAGGCAGCAGUGGGGAAUAUUGGACAAUGGGCGCAAGCCUGAUCCAGCCAUGCCGCGUGCGUGAAGAAGGCCUUCGGGUUGUAAACCGCUUUUGGCAGGGAAGAAAAGGUUCUGGCUAAUACCUGUGACUCUUGACGUUACCUGAAGAAUAAGCACCGGCUAACUACGUG
rnacentral:rRNA from 1 species